AGUGGUGUGGCUCAAUGGCAGAGCACUUGUCUAGCAUGUAUGAGACCCUGGGUUCCAUACCCAGCAUCAUAA
rnacentral:tRNA from 1 species